rnacentral:rRNA from 1 species
CGGCGGACGGGUGAGUAACACGUGGGCAACCUGCCUGUAAGACUGGGAUAACUUUCGGGAAACCGGAGCUAAUACCGGAUAACACCGAGGACCUCAUGGUCCUUGGUUGAAAGAUGGCUUCGGCUAUCACUUACAGAUGGGCCCGCGGCGCAUUAGCUAGUUGGUGAGGUAACGGCUCACCAAGGCGACGAUGCGUAGCCGACCUGAGAGGGUGAUCGGCCACACUGGGACUGAGACACGGCCCAGACUCCUACG